CGGAGCGGAGCGAGGACCGAGGCCUACCCCCAGCCAGCGCUCCUCCGGGCCGGGGCCGAGGAACGUUCAGCUCCGGGUGGAGAGCGUGGGUCCUGAAAUUACUCUGUGUUACCUUAAACAAAACCCGCGAAACAGUGAUCGUCGGAUGCUGGGUCGGUGCAAAAGCUUAGCCGCGGGUUGUGUUCACCUAGGAGUAGUGUCGGCCAGCUCUCGGUUUGGAGCUGCAGGUGGGCUGGAGUUCGGCUCUCCCCCCCAGAGCGGAGCCGGCCGUGCUACGGCUCCUGCGUUUUUCGGGUCACGCUGUCUGGAUCGCUGUGGUGGUAAUUCCUGCGGUAGGGAUGGCGUAGUUUGGACAGCAGCGUUUUUGGUUGCACAGAAAGAAAGUUCAGCAAAAUUGAAAGUUCCUGAAUGCUGGACGUGUCACGUUAUCGAAGAUGGAGCAAUUUCUUUGGAACAUACACCUACCCGCCAUACACAGUUACACACAAAAAUGCCUCCACAGACUCUCUCCAGAUCUUAUCCUGUUGAACCUGGUCCUGCUGCAGUGCUGCCUGCUCGUCUGCCCAGGCCCGAGUAGCCGGUUGUGCAAUGACAGGUCUUCUGGGUUGGGUGCUGCCGCAAGACACAGAUGGAGCUGAGGCUGGUUGACCCAGAGGUGUGGUUGCUGGUUGCCAAGACCUAACCAAGCUCAGUCCUCACCAAUUCAUGUCCCUCAUAGUCAUCAAAAAGAAACACUGAAAGGAGAACGAUACCUCAUCUCCAGACGGAAGAGUGACUACAGGGACUAAACAUGCUGAAGACACAAGGUUUCCCUUUAUGAAGCUGAAGCAUAACAGAUACAUA